rnacentral:miRNA from 1 species
CACGGGCUGCAGCGCCGACGC